rnacentral:misc_RNA from 1 species
GAUGAAGAACGUAGCGAAAUGCGAUAAGUAAUGCGAAUUGCAGAAUUUCCGUGAGUCAUCGAAUCUUUGAACGCACAUUGCGCCCAUUGGUAUUCCGAUGGGCAUGCCUGUUCGAGCGUCAUUAUCUUCCCUCAAACCUCGCGUUUGGUGUUGGGCCGUGCUGGUUCCUGCGUGACCAACUGGCCUCAAAGACAAUGACGGCGUCCGUGGGACCCUCGAUGCAACGAGCUUCUCAGGAGCACGCGUCGAGUUUCAAGGACCUUCCGGGCCGGUCUAUCCUCAAGUUAUUACAAGGUUGACCUCGGAUCAGGUAGGGAUACCCGCUGAACUUAAGCAUAUCAAUAAGCGGAGGA